CUAGGUGGAUAGCUUGGCUUAUCAAAGCGAUGAAGGACGUGGCAAGCUGCGAAAAGUCUGGGCGAGGCGCAUGCAGCCAUUGAACCCAGAAUUUCCUAAUGCGACAUCGCGCCCUUUUAGGGCAGACCGAAAGGUCAGCGAACGCGGGGAAUUGAAACAUCUUAGUACCCGCAGGAAAAGAAAUCAAUCGAGAUGCCGUUAGUAAGAGCGACUGAACACGGCACAGGGCAAACCGAAUCGCACUCCGUAAGGAGUGUUGAGAUGUGGUGUGUGGACUGCCAUCAAGGUACCGGUCGUUGCGAUCUGAAGUCUCUUGGAACAGAGCGCGAUACAGGGUGAUAGCCCCGUAAGAGAAGCAACGAUGGGCCUGGCAUGUUCCCGAGUAGGGCUUCUUGGAUAUGAAGUCUGAAGGUGGGAGACAUCAACUUCCAACCCUAAAUAUUCGAUAAGUCCGAUAGCGUACUAGUACCGUGAGGGAAAGCUGAAAAGAACCCGUGACAGGGAGUGAAAAGACCUUGAAACCUAGAAGUGAUAGUGUGGCACGCACCUCAUGUUGGGUGUGUGCCGUUCGUUUUGAAUAACGAGCCCGGGAGUGUGUCUGUGAGGCGAGGACAAUCCGAUGAGGAGGAUCCGAAGCGAAAGCAACAAGCCCGCAAUUUAUGAGGGGCGGGGUAUGAAAGUGCCCGGAGUCCCACGGACACGACCCGAAACCGGUCGAUCUACUCCUGAGUAGGGUGAAGCGACGGUAAAACGUCGGGGAGGCCCGAAGAGGUGCUGUGAACAAGCGUUCUCGUAACUUGGGAGUAGGGGUGAAAAGCCAAUCGAGACCGGUGAUAGCUGGUUCCUGUCGAAGUUGACCGUAGUCAAGCCUUGGACGAGGUAGUCAUAGAGGUAGAGAUACGGAUUGGAAUUGCAGGGGGAGAAAUCCCUCGGAUUCUUGUCCAACUCCGAAUGCUAUGACGCUGUAGACUCCAGGAGACGGCGGCGCGGGGUAAGCCCACGUCGCGAGAGGGGAACAACCCAGACAUGUGUUAAGGUCCCUAAGUACUGAUUAAGUGUUAAAGGGUGAAGGUUGUCCGUGUUCAUAGACAGCGAGGAGGUUGGCUUAGAAGCAGCCAUCCUAUAAUAAGUGCGUAACAGCUUACUUGUCAAGAGCAUGGGUGCCGAAAACGGACGGGGCUAAAUCAGUCACCGAUACACAUGGCAACGAAAGUUGCGGUAGGCAGGCGUAGUGGUUGGGUAGAAGCAUAUUCGAGAGUUUAUGUGGACUGACCACUAAUGAGAAUCCGGGUAAGAGUAGGACCUGAGCAUGGUGAGAAUCCAUGCCACCGUAAGGGCAAGGGUUUCUUGACACUGUAGUUCAGUUAAGAGUUAGCCGAUCCUAAGCCCCACCCUAACUGGGUGAGAGAGCGAAAGGGAAACUAGUUAAUAUUCUAGUGCCGAUAUGGUAUUCGGCGACGAAAGGGUGAUGGCCGACGUUUUGGGCUAAGGAGGCGGGGUUAAACCCGUCAGAGUCUUAAGGUCUGUGGAGUACCAUUAUGGUGAGAAGCAGAGCAAGGGCUAAGAGUAUCGCGUAUGCGGUAUCCUCCUGAUGCCUGGAACCCAUGAAAAGGACAUCGCCAGAGAUCCAUAUCGAUCGUACCAAGAACCGGCACAGGUGCCCCUAGGUGAGAAGCCUCAGGUGUGAAGGGAUAAGGUUGUUCAGGGAAUUCGGCAAAUUAGCCACGUGCCUUCGGCAUAAGUGGUCCCUGCGCUUGUAGCAAUGCGAGUGCAGGGUGCAAUGACAAAGGGGGUCCGACUGUUUAACAAAAACUUAACCGGCUGCUAACCUGCAAAGGCUUGUAUAGCCGGUGACGUCUGCCCAGUGCGAAUACCUAAAAGCCCUUUUCAAGGGGCCUAAGGGCUCGUAAACGGCGGGAGUAACUAUAACUCUCUUAAGGUAGCGAAAUGCCUUGCCGUUUAAAUGACGGCCUGCAUGAAUGGCGUAACGAGAUUCCCACUGUCCCGAACAACCACCCUCCGAAAAUUCUUUCUGGUGCAAAGGCCAGAGACUUCUAGUGGGAAGUGAAGACCCCGUGAAACUUUACUGUAACCUGUUGUUGUGAUACGGCUUGUGAUGUGAAGGCUAGGUAGGAGCCGUCGAAGCGUAGGCGCCAGCUUACGUGGAGGCGAAAGGUGGGAGACUACCCUUCACAAACCGUAUUGCUUACCCGUUAGGCGGGAACAGCAGCAGGCGGACAGUUUGGCUGGGGUGGCACACCGUCGAAAAUGUAUCGAUGGUGCCCAAAGGUUGACUCAUCCGGGUCAGAAAUCCGGAGUGGAGUGCAAGAGCAAAAGUCAGCCUAACUGGAUCCAUAACAAGAACGGUUCCAGUGUCGAAAGACGGGUCUAGCGAACCCCUGUAGCUCCUUGAUGGGGCUCAGGUAUGACCGAAAAGUUACUCCGGGGAUAACAGAGUUGUCGCGCCCGAGCGCCCAAAGCGACGGCGCGGCUUGCUACAUCGAUGUCGGCUCUUCCUAACCUGGCUGUGCAGAAGCAGCCAAGGGUGAGGGUGUUCACCUAUCAAAAGGGAUCGUGAGCUGGGUUCAGAACGCUUUGAGGCAGUUUGUUUAUUAUCUACUAGAAGUGUCGAGUGUCUGAGAGGAAGGACCACUUAGUACGAGAGGAACGGUGGUUCGUUGCCACUGGUCGACCGGUUGUCUUACAAGGCAGACCGGGCAGCUACGCAAUGACUGAUAAGUGCUGAAAGCAUCUAAGCACGAAGCAAGCCUCGAAAAGAGACACCACAACAACGCGAAGAACACGCGGUUGAUGGGACUGGAGUGUAAGCACC
rnacentral:rRNA from 1 species